AUUUUAUUUGAAAGAAAACUGAUUUUUUAUUAUGGAAAAGGAAAAUUCAGUGUUAAGAGCGUCCACUCCAGUAAAGACUAAAUUGCUUUCCACUCCGUUAAGUGAAAGAAAAAAUAUCCAACCUUUUUUAAUUUAUAAAGAUGCUCGCAAAAGUUUAAAUUUUGAAGCCUCUCGACGACUUUCCUCUUAUGAUAAACCACUUUCCU